rnacentral:rRNA from 1 species
UACAGAGGGGGCAGGCGUUGUUCGGAAUUACUGGGCGUAAAGGGCGCGUAGGCGGCCUUCUAAGUCGAACGUGAAAUCCCCGGGCUCAACCCGGGAACUGCGUCCGAGACUGAAAGGCUCGAAUCCGGGAGAGGGAUGUGGAAUUCCAGGUGUAGCGGUGAAAUGCGUAGAUAUCUGGAGGAACAUCGGUGGCGAAGGCGGCAUCCUGGACCGGUAUUGACGCUGAGGCGCGAAAGCCAGGGGAGCAAAGCGGG